rnacentral:rRNA from 1 species
UACGGAGGGGGCUAGCGUUGUUCGGAAUUACUGGGCGUAAAGCGCACGUAGGCGGCUUUGCAAGUCAGAGGUGAAAGCCCGGGGCUCAACCCCGGAAUAGCCUUUGAGACUGCAUCGCUAGAAUUGUGGAGAGGUAAGUGGAAUUCCGAGUGUAGAGGUGAAAUUCGUAGAUAUUCGGAAGAACACCAGUGGCGAAGGCGGCUCACUGGCCCGGUACUGACGCUGAGAUACGAAAGCGUGGGGAGCAAACAGG